rnacentral:rRNA from 1 species
UACGAAGGGGGCUAGCGUUGCUCGGAAUCACUGGGCGUAAAGCGCGCGUAGGCGGAUCGUUAAGUCGGGGGUGAAAUCCUGGAGCUCAACUCCAGAACUGCCUUUGAUACUGGCGAUCUUGAGUCCGGGAGAGGUGAGUGGAACUCCGAGUGUAGAGGUGAAAUUCGUAGAUAUUCGCAAGAACACCAGUGGCGAAGGCGGCUCACUGGCCCGGUACUGACGCUGAGGUGCGAAAGCGUGGGGAGCAAACAGG